GGAAUCAACGCUGGCGGCGUGCCUAACACAUGCAAGUCGAACGCGGUUACCCCGCAAGGGGUAACUGAGUGGCGAACGGGUGAGUAACACGUGGGUGACCUACCUUCGAAUGGGGGAUAACGUCCCGAAAGGGACGCUAAUACCGCAUAACAUCCUGCCUUUGAACAGGCGGAGAUCAAAGCCGGGGAUCGCAAGACCUGGCGUUUGAAGAGGGGCCCGCGUCCGAUUAGCUAGUUGGUGAGGUAACGGCUCACCAAGGCGACGAUCGGUA
rnacentral:rRNA from 1 species